rnacentral:rRNA from 1 species
AUUGAACGCUGGCGGCAUGCUUUACACAUGCAAGUCGAACGGUAACAGGCCGCAAGGUGCUGACGAGUGGCGAACGGGUGAGUAAUGCAUCGGAACGUGCCCAGUCGUGGGGGAUAACUACUCGAAAGAGUAGCUAAUACCGCAUACGAUCUAUGGAUGAAAGCGGGGGACCGUAAGGCCUCGCGCGAUUGGAGCAGCCGAUGUCAGAUUAGGUAGUUGGUGGGGUAAAGGCUCACCAAGCCAACGAUCUGUAGCUGGUCUGAGAGGACGACCAGCCACACUGGGACUGAGCCACGGCCCAGACUCCUACGGGAGGCAGCAGUGGGGAAUUUUGGACAAUGGGCGCAAGCCUGAUCCAGCAAUGCCGCGUGCAGGAAGAAGGCCUUCGGGUUGUAAACUGCUUUUGUACGGAACGAAACGGCUCUGGUUAAUACCCGGGGCUAAUGACGGUACCGUAAGAAUAAGCACCGGCUAACUACGUG